GUACACACCGCCCGUCGCUCCUACCGAUUGGGUGUGCUGGUGAAGUGUUCGGAUUGGCGACCSGGGGCGGUYUCCGCYCUSGGCYGCCGAGAAGUUCAUUAAACCCUCCCACCUAGAGGAAGGAGAAGUCGUAACAAGGUUUCYGUAGGUGAACCUGCAGAAGGAUCA
rnacentral:rRNA from 1 species